rnacentral:tRNA from 1 species
GGUCCCGUGGUGUAGUGGUAGCACCCCAGAUUCUCAGUCUGGUAGCGGGGGUUCGAUACCCCUCGGGACUA